rnacentral:rRNA from 1 species
AUUGAACGCUGGCGGCAGGCCUAACACAUGCAAGUCGAGCGGAGCGGCGGACGGGCGAGUAAUGCCUAGGAAUCUGCCUGGUAGUGGGGGAUAACGUCCGUAAACGGGCGCUAAUACCGCAUACUAACAGCUGAGCCUAGGGCGGAUUAGCUGGUUGGGGGGGUAAAGGCCUACCAAGGCGACGAUCCGGAACUGGUCAGAGAGGAUGAUCAGUCACCCGGGAACUGAGACACGUUCAAGACCCCUCCGGGAGGCAGAAGUGGGGAAUAUUGGAAAAUGGGCGAAAUCCUGAUGCAGCAAUGCGGCGUGUGGGAAGAAGGUCUUCGGAUUUUAAAGCACGUUAAGUUGGGAGGCGUUAACAACAGAGUAAGCACCGGCUAACUUCGUGCCAGCAGCCGCGGUAAUUC